rnacentral:lncRNA from 10 species
CAGCGAGGCAGGGAGGGGAGGCUGACUUCUGAGAUCUGAAAGAAGAGAUUGAUGCUGGGAGAGAGAGAAGCUUAAUGUUGAUAUUCAUCAGAGAUGAGCCCCUUGGCAUUGCAGCCUGAGACUUAUCAGAAAAGCUGUUUCUUGUGAACUUCCUGGGCUCCUUAAAUGCCGUGGACUGCUGAGAAUUUAGACAGAGGCCAUCUUCAAAAGAACUAUGGUCGCUACAGAACCUGCAACCAAUCAGAAUGACUUUUCAUCUGGAUGCAGUCUAACCGGACCGGAAGUCAGCCAUGAGCAAACCUGGAAGUGGCUAGACCUAGAUGCUGGGUCUUUGUGUUCAGUAUCUCUGUGAUGAGGAUUUGACAAGUCCUGCCUUUCUUUGACACCUAGGUCUGAAUUGCAUUUGUUAUUGAACUGAAAGGUGAUUUGCUCCCACACUGAGGAGAGGCACACAAAUCAGACAAUUGAAUGUGAGCUUCCAUUAUCGGGAUCCCCUCCUCCACCCCACUCCCUCACUGUGGGCUUCAGGAAAGUUGACUCAGGGGUCUCUUCAACAAGCUCUUGCGUUUUACUUCCCACAAACAAAAGGAAACUUGACUGCCGCAAAGCUCAUCUCAAUAAACUCCUCCCAAGAGACCAUGUAACCAAAGGACUGCAGGAGGCCUUAGGCAGGCCAUUUGGUAUAUUCAGGUUCCUCCUUGUGAAGAGCGCCCCAGCUCCUUCAAACAACCCCAUCUCAGUGCAAGUCCUGUGAAUGAACUGCACAGGGGCUCACUCAUUCAUUUAUUCAAUGCUGGGUGUUUCAAAGCAUUUCCACAGUCCCAGAGAGGCUGCCUGAGCAGGGAGUGCGAUCUGGCUGGUCUUGCUCUGCAGUGAUUCUCUUUCUGCAUGUACUCUGCUGUCUGCUGGAAGUAGAGCCCCAGAAGGUCGUUUGUCUCUUUUGCCACCUGUGGGGAACCUUUGAGGCAGCCCGUGUGAUUUGGGUGCCUUGAGUCAAUGAACAGCACACUGUUAGUCAGUUGCAAUCUCGGUCUCUGUUUCUUUCUCUCUUUCUGUAGAAUAAUUUUAAAGGGCAGGCUGAGCAGUAUCCACUGCACACCCUUUCUCUUUAUCAGUCCACUUACAGAAAGAGGAAAUGCAGUUUAUGCCUUCCACAGCACAGACAUGAACAGCCUGCGAUUGAUUUCAUUUAUGAUCUGGGUUAAGUGGAAUGUCUUACUGUAUUGUUUAUUUAAUAACCUUGCUGUACUUUGCAAACUCAGUCAACUACAGCUAAUUCCUGCCUAAGAGAACAGCUUCCCUACAGUAUCCGUUGAUAUGAAUACACAAUAUAUGUACUUUCACUUUAUUCACUUGACUAUAAUACAUGCAUACAUUCAUUUGUGCCAAUCUAAUCUCCGUGUGGCUUUGAAAAUUUGACCUUGAUGUUCUCUCUCUCUGUGAAAUUAUAGUCAUAUUUAUUCUAUUUGUGAUUGGAGCUAAGGACUGUUACUUUUUUAUUAUGAGGCUGGAAGAAAGAAAUGUUUGAUAAUAGGUAACAAAAUCAUACCCUUAAAGUUCACUGUGAUAACUAAUUUCAAUAGAACAUUCCAAAAUGUUUAAGCAGUUUUUAUUUUUAAGGCUUACAAUAACAUCCAGUUAAACUUCAAAAACAUUUAGCUAACAUGUAAAGACAGCUUUUUUUUAA